GACGGAGGGUGCUAGCGUUGUUCGGAAUGACUGGGCGUAAAGGGCGCGUAGGCGGCCGCUUGCGUCGGAUGUGAAAGCCCGGGGCUCAACCCCGGAACGGCAUCCGAUACGGGGCGGCUCGAGACCGAGAGAGGUGAGUGGAAUACCCAGUGUAGAGGUGAAAUUCGUAGAUAUUGGGUGGAACACCGGUGGCGAAAGCGGCUCACUGGCCCGGUACUGACGCUGAGGUGCGAAAGCGUGGGGAGCAAACAGG
rnacentral:rRNA from 1 species